CAGCAGCCACGGUAAUACGUAGGGUGCAAGCGUUAAUCGGAAUUACUGGGCGUAAAGCGUGCGCAGGCGGUUAUGUAAGACAGUUGUGAAAUCCCCGGGCUCAACCUGGGAACUGCAUCUGUGACUGCAUAGCUAGAGUACUGUAGAGGGGGAUGGAAUUCCGCGUGUAGCAGUGAAAUGCGUAGAUAUGCGGAGGAACACCGAUGGCGAAGGCAAUCCCCUGGACCUGUACUGACGCUCAUGCACGAAAGCGUGGGGAGCAAACAGGAUUAGAUACCCGAGUAGUCCCUGUCUCUUAUAC
rnacentral:rRNA from 1 species